CCGCCUAGUCUGCCUAGACUCACGGGCUGCCCCUGCCUGAGUGUGCAAAGGAGCCCAGAGUGGCACGGAGGCAGGCCAGGGAGUCUCAUGGUCACCUUGUGUUCAGGAAAAACUCCAGGCCCAUGUGGCGACUCUGAGGGAAAGGAGAGCGAAGCUGCUGCGGUUAAAGGAGACCAGUGAGCAGAGAAGCCAGCAGUACCUGAAACAGACACAAGCCAAGAGGCAGAAGAUCGUGGCCGAGUUUCAGCAGCUGCGGCAGUUCCUGGAGGAACAAGAGCGACUCCUGCUGGCCCAGCUGCAGAAGCUGGAGGAGGAGAUUAGGAGGCACCAGACCGAGAGGGGCAGGAAACUCUCGGAGCAGAUUUCCCGUCUCAGCGAGCGGAUCGGGGAGCUGGAGGGGAAGUGUCAGAAGCCAGUGAGUGAAUUCCUGCAGGUGAGACCGAGGAGAAACAGCCCAGCCCCCCACCCAGGGAAGGGAGGCUCCUGAAACACAAGUGCUGGGGUCCAGCCGUCAGGUCUGGGUGUAACGUGGCAGGUGCUUUGCUGACACGUGAGCAACUGUUGGGCUUUGCAGAGUCCCAGGCACAGAGCUACGUCUAAACCCCUUCUCUGGGGCCCCUUU